UACGUAGGGCGCAAGCGUUGUCCGGAAUUAUUGGGCGUAAAGAGCUCGUAGGCGGUUUGUCGCGUCUGCUGUGAAAUUUCGGGGCUCAACCCCGAACUUGCAGUGGGUACGGGCAGACUAGAGUGUGGUAGGGGGAGACUGGAAUUCCUGGUGUAGCGGUGAAAUGCGCAGAUAUCGAGAGGAACACCUGCGGCGAAGGCGGGUUGCUGGGCUGACACUGACGCUGAUGCGCGAAAGCCAGGGGAGCGAACGGG
rnacentral:rRNA from 1 species